rnacentral:misc_RNA from 1 species
AUUCUUCACUUUACAGUGGCAAGACAAAACCUUUAGCAGAAUCUUCCUACGUGCCCUGCUUCUCCAAUCCCAUUGAUGUUCAAAGAAAUCAACAAGAAUCCAUUGAUAGUUUCAACAACAAUCUUUUUGCAGUUUCUUCCAACCCUGCAGAUGUUUUUCCACGGAUUCCACUUGCAAAUUCAUUCUACUCUACUCAUGCUGUCCCAUUCUCAGCAAAUUUACAGUACCCAGGUUCUGUUUUAAUGCAAGACCAGUCAAUACUCAAUUUUAAGGGCUUUGUUUGAGAACCAAGGAUCAAACUGGAAGCAGAGUUUCAAAACAGAAAGGGAGAUGGUCAGUGCCUCACAAGAAACAGGCCUAACCACGGAUAAGAACACUGAAAUCUCUUCUGUCAUUUCAAAUAUUGAAAUAGGAAGGAGGGCAUUUGAUGAUCAUCAAGAGGCUCCUUCUACAUUAGCUGGGUCAGUAGACCUUGCCUGUCUGUGGAAUUAUUGAAACUGAGUGGGCAGGCAUUAGAAAGCGAUUGUCGAGUGGAAGAAAAAGAAGAAGAAGAGUAGUUGGAAUUACUAGUAUUAUAUUGAAAAGAAGUGGUUGCUCUGUGUAUAGAUUUGUUGAAAGAAAGUGAAGCAAAAUCAUGAUAUUAUAUGUAGUAUUUGUAAGAAAUUACAAUAUGAACUCCUUUUUUUAACUGUUUUAAUUUGAAUCUAAAUUUGUGUUAGGG